AUAUUAUAUGUAAUUUUCAUUUAAUAAAUUGUUAAUGUAUUUUGUUCCGUGUUAUGUUAGUUGUUCUCUUUGAGGUAUAGAUGUAAAUUUAAAAUCAUAGUUUUGGAGAAUUUUGUAUUACUUUGAAGUUAAAAUCCGUUACACUCAUUAAUUCAUUCUUAAAUACUAUAAUAAUUAUUGUUGUUUAUUCAAUGCGUAUAGUGUCAAUAGUGUCAUACUAUAUUCUUAUAAAUGAACAAUUAUAGUAUAAUAUAUAUAUGACUUAUAUACUACAAAAGUGUAAUAAUUACACUAAUUAUUACUCGUCUUCCAGGUUUAUUCAUCUGUUCUUCUAGUUCCGGGAGUUGAACAAAAUUUGUCUUCAACCACUGGAUGUUUUUGUAUGGACGACAAGUGAAUGAUGACUUAAAGUCAUUACCGGUGUGAAAAUAUGAUUUUAGGCGCCUUUUUAAGUAAUCGUUACAUUUAUUUACGAGGGUGAUCAGUGUAUGGAGGAGUGACUAAAUAAUAUUGUUUUGUGUUUGUCAUCAGGUACAGCUGAUAUUCUGCUGUUUCGGUUUUAAUCAAAGAGGUACUGGGUCAUUUCUGUAUUCUCAUUGUUACUAAUUUCAGAUUGCAUUUGAGCGCUAUUUAAAAAAAAACCCGUACGAUAUGAUCUAUAAAAUUAACUGUCAAUGUCAAAUGUCAAUAAGCUGUAAGCACACUUUACAUGGCCGCCAGUAUGGACAGCUGGUAAUGCAACGCUCAGUACAGUUGUUUGUGGAAGUUGUAGAUUCAAUUUACGUUGGAGACCGAUGAGUCGUUUUGUUUCCAUGAUGUUGUCGGUGGUCUAUCAUGAUUCAUGAUUAAAGGUUUUAUAUUUGGAGAACAAAAUACAGCAAGGCACGUAAAAUCCAACAAAUGCAGUUAUAUUCUGCAGAUGUAAACUAUAACAAAAAAAUAAAUAUUUAUAUGUAUUAAAUUUGUUUUAAUAAAUGUA